AUUAUGUAGUCGUGAUGACUUGUUUUAAAUACUGUAAACAAAUCAGAUCAUGGAUGAGACUAGACCUGAAACAACGCGUUCAUUAAAUCAAUCUGCAAAUAUUUUGGCAGUCACACCAUUGACACACCCUCCGGUCCAACUGGUUAAUACAUUUUGGGUUACCUGUUUUAUUUUGAUACUUUUCAUUCAUUGCAUUGUUGGCACCUUCAUUUCUCCUGUCUUUGUCUUUCUCCCAGCCCCUGUGAUUACUUGCCCAGACUGAUCCAUGGGUAUGCCAUGACUGAUAACAGUAGGCCUGUACUUAAUAAAGAAAGGGUUAUGACCUCUGACAUGUAUUCAGGUAACAGUGUUACCAACACAGCCAGAAAAGGGAGAAGGUGGAGGACCACAAACACCUCACAGACCCCUCCCUGACUGAAAAGGCUCACUAGCUUCAGUGUCCCUCAUGGUAGCAAGCAGUGAGCUGUGUUAGUGAACUGCAGUCAAACUGCACCUAUUAGCUACAACCCCUGCUGUAGCUUUCAGGGUCAGGAAAGCUAAGGCAGGUGGAGCAGGUGGAGAUGAGCUGGUGUAAAUACUGAGGGGAGUAACUGGAGAGUGAGGAACAGGUGAGCAGGUGCAUGUGGGAGUCAGAUGACUCGGGCAGACCGUAAAAUCCGAGGACAUCAGGUGUAGAACGGCAAAUCUGGAGAGCUGCUAAAUAAUGCAUGGGCCUGCACAAGAGAGAGUGUGGCUGACUGCAGGGACAGAAUGGACACAGCUGGACUGAGGCGGACAUUUUUGUUUUUUAGUGAAGUAUCAGUCAAUAGACUGCGACACUCGUCCUCAGUCGUGCCUUCUGCAGUUUUCACUGUGUUGCUGCACUGUUUUUUUGCUCUAUUAAUGUAAACUCACCACAUACAGACGUGUACCUCGUGGUUGCUGUGUGUUAGCUGCUGGUGCCUGCAGGCAGUCCUCGGUUGCCCAGGAAACACAGAUGGUGGAUGAAGGGCGCGCAUACAAAAGACCAUAAACCUGUGGCAGCAGCUGGAGACUGAUUAAUUCAGGUCUGUGCAGUCCUGCUCACUCAAACACGUCGCUGUUCUCUUCAGUACCUCCCAUCCGUUCUCUUUGUCCAGAACCUUCCGUCUCCACUUUACCCUGUUUUUUUUUUUUUCUUACCCGGACUGGACUCCCGUCAAUGCGCAGCUGUUGUUGGCACUCCCACAUCUGCUUCCCUCAGCUCGGCGGCCAUACAGACGACGCUCAGCCGCGGAUCGUGUUAGUGCGAGCCGUGUAGGUCCAGAGGGACGAGCUCAUUUUUACUGCAGGCGCAAUGACUGCACACACACUCGGUGUGUAUUUGCAGGUUAGGCAGCUUGCCCUCAGCAUGGAAAAGAAAAAGCAGAAGAAGAAGAUGAAGAUGUGAUCUUUCCACACCGUCUGGUGCUGCGGGACAGGUGCAUGUGGAACCAGGAGACCACCGCCAACCCUGGGGUCAGAGUUGCACGGACUUUGCACCCGAUUCGUCUGCAGAGCUGCUGAAAUGUGACCAGUGAGGACACCGGGAGGAUCCAAACGGGAACCAGCAGCAGGACAGGUUAUGUGUACAGGCCGGCUUAUGUUUAUUAAAGUUGUAAGGGAGGUUCAUUUUACCAGAUGGACACACACACACACAAAAUACCAGAUGGAGAAUUUAAUUUAAUACAGAUAACUGACAACAAUAGCGCCUCUCAAGUGUGUCUUUGUAGCGGUGGGUGUAUUUCAGCCUCGUUAGUGUGGAGAGAAACAGUAAAGCUAAAGAAGUGAUGCCUGGGGUAUCUUGGGUCGACAGUUGGGUGGCGUCCCACUUUUCUGCUGCUUUGUGUUGUGUUUUCCUCUCCAGUUACACUGAUGGAAAAACAGAUCGGGGCUCGAACUGGACCUGACGGGUGGCAUCGCUCCAUUGGCGCUCAGCUGUGCUGCCUCACUGACUGGUACAGGAUCUGUCAGUAGAUUUACACCACGCGAUGGACGCAUGGUGCCGUUGCUGCUGUCCAGUACCUUCAGAAGGAGACAACGAAGUGUUUCCCAGCUGAGAGACGACUUCUGUUGCUUUUGUGUAUGUGUGAAAAGGGCUUGGAAGAGUUUGAAAUGCCACUGCUCAGUCAGUCAUAACCAGAUUUAGCAGGAAAGCACUUCUAUUGGGUGUUUUGAGUCCAAAAUGAUUUUCUGCAGUGUGUGUGUGUGUUCCUGGCUGUGAGUAAUGCUAAUACAGCUCCAUCCACCCACACUGCCAUGUUUUUCUUUCUUUUUUCCGGCCGAUCAAAAACCCCGACACUGCAGCCAUUGAACACCUCUCACGCCUGUUUAUUUCAGCCUCUGUCAGUGCUGACCUCUCCGCUGUUACCUCCAUCACUCUGCUUAUCAUUUAGUCGCUUUCUCUCAGUAUGAGACCCUUUAAAUUCACCGCAAGAGGUGUGUUAACGAUGCUCCCCUGUGUGCUAACUUCUCACCAAAGCUAGCAUGUGUUCAUGUCAGAUGCAGAAGUGGAAAUGCUGUUAUUUUAAGCCUGUAAUGUUAAAAAUUCUGCGUGAGAAUGACUAUUUUUCUCACAUUCUGACAGUGUGUGAUUCACACAGUAUGUUCUUUGUUCGUCUUCAAAUCUCUUAAUUUGGAUGUGACGCCAACUGUUUCUUUGAUGUGCAGUACAUCCUCAGUGUAUAUCAGCUGUAAGUGUGUGGGCGCGUGCGUGUCAGCGUGAGUGCAUGUGUUUGUGUGCAUGUGCUCUAUUUGUGUGUGUGUGUUUGUUCCUGUGCGUGUGCAUGUGUGUCAUGCCUGUCUGACAGAACAGACUUCUGUAAUGGUCCUGAAGCUACCAUCUGCUUUUCAGUGAUUUUAUCCCAGCUGCAAAGUUUUUUAAAACAUGCUUGAAGUUUUUUUUUUUUUUCUUGUACCAGAGAAGGGAUGAAAAGUAUUUACAUAUGAUUCUUAGCAUUUGUUUUGACCUCUUUAAAGUACCAGUUAGGUGGGGAUUCUUGUGGUUUAGAUAAUCAUAAGCGACAAGAAUGUCUCUGGAAAUUAACUGUGUGUAGUUUUCUAAAUGGUGCCUACUGGCAUUAAUUAAACUGUCAUGAUGUCUACAGCCCCACCACCUGAUACUUAAGCAAAUUACACCAAAUGCUAAUAAUGAUGUGCAAAUGGCUUUUUACCCGGUCUGGAUUCUACUAACAGUAUCUCACUAAUAUCUAACAAUACUAAUGUGUGCUAACAGUGGGAUGAUUACUAACCUGUCCUCUGAAUGCUGAUGGCUGGCCUUGUUCAAUCUAACCCACUGACUAACCCUCUGCUUUAUGCCCCGCAGUCCGACGCACACACUUCUCUCUCAUGAUCCUGCAAUCCUUCUUCUACAAACGACCAGCUUUAGAUUGAUUUUCAAAGAAGAAAAUCGACGAAAACAGUUAAAGCAGGCAAGUCAAGAAGGGUUUCAGGACUUGGGAAGGGAGAACUUAUUAACCACUAGAUGAAAAGAGGAGGAGAAACAGCAGCUGCUGAUACUAAACUGGGUUGACCACAUACUUUGGAAGAAUCCUCACAAAACUGAUCUGAUUCCAAAUGAUGAUAUUCCCAUAGCGUGCAACAGGCUUCGCAGGCUAAAUUCGCAGCUUCAGAGACCCGUCUUUCUGUCUCUGCCUGUGUGCUGUGUGGUCAACCUUCACGGGUGAGUGCCUGGCCUGUUGUCCAACAAGCCAAGCAAACCUCAUCUCCACUACUAACUUAAUAUGGUGCUGAUACUAACAGUAGGUGAGGCUGUAAUGGUCCACCUGACGCUCUUACUAACCUCUCUGUUCAUUCUGACCGAAGCAUAAUUCAAUCCAGUCGAAAGUCAAAUGACAUUACAUGGAAGCUUUUAUCCAAAUCAUCUUCAGUGCCAUGAGUAGAUGCUGUUUUUAGGCCUGAGCUUCUACUGUGUCAGUGCUGACACAAGUCCUUAUGAGCAAGUUAGACAAUUCCCUUAGUUCAUUAAAUUAACAGAAACUAACCAAAGGGCUUGCAUUAGCUCUCUGCAAACUAACCAACUAACCCACUAAUAAACUAAUAAUCUAAUAAUCUAACAAAAACUAACUGGAAUCACUAACUUUGUGCUGAGUGGAAGAACUAGUGAAGCACCCUGACUUUGAGGAGGUGCAUCACUUAUUAAAUGUACUAACAGAAUUAAGCUUUGAAGAGUUACUGGUGUGAGUUGAAUGUGCCUGUUUGUUUGUGUGUGUGUGUGUGUGUGUGUGUGUGUGUGAGAGAGAGAAACCACCUGGUUUUGUUCUUUCAAACAAUACUUUAACAUACCAGUGCAGAUUAUUUUUAUUGGAUGCGUAUAACACACAGCUUUCUGCCUUUCUGCUCCCAAACAACACUGAGUGUGGAAGUACCAUGUAAAGAAACAAACAUGUACACAGCUGUCUUUGUAAUGUACUGCUAACAUAUCAGUUGCCUUUACCAUAUAACUUGUAAUAAAUAAUUUUCACAUGGAAGUAAAA